rnacentral:rRNA from 1 species
CCCUUAGAUGUUCUGGGCCGCACACGCGCUACACUGAAGGAGGCAGCGUGUACUCCUGGAUCGAAAGAUUUGGGUAACCCGCGAAUCUCCUUCGUGCUAAGGAUUGAGGUUUGCAAUUAUCCUUCAUGAACGAGGAAUUCCCAGUAAGUGCAAGUCAUAAGCUUGCGCUGACUACGUCCCUGCCCUUUGUACACACCGCCCGUCGCUACUACCGAUUGAAUGAUUUAGUGAGGACUUCGGACUGGGACCGAUGCGGCUUUCGGGCUGCGUCGGUAUUCUGGAAAGAUGUCCAAACUGUAUCAUUUAGAGGAAGUAAAAGUCGUAACA